UGGGGAAUUUUGUGCAAUGGGCGAAAGCCUGACACAGCGACACCGCGUGAGCGAAGAAGCCCUUUGGGGUGUAAAGCUCUGUCGGCUGGAACGAAAAAAAUGACGGUACCAGCAAAGGAAGCAUCGGCUAACUACGUGCCAGCAGCCGCGGUAAGACGUAGGAUGCGAGCGUUGUCCGGAUUUAUUGGGCGUAAAGAGUUCGUAGGUGGUCUGUUAAGUCUGAUGUUAAAUAUUGGGGCUCAACCCUGAACAUGCAUUGGAUACUGGCAGACUCGAGUGUGGUAGAGGCUAGUGGAAUUCCCAGUGUAGCGGUGAAAUGCGUAGAUAUUGGGAAGAACACCGGUGGCGUAGGCGACUAGCUGGGCCAUAACUGACACUGAGGAACGAAAGCCAGGGUAGCGAAUGGGAUUAGAUACCCCCGUAGUCC
rnacentral:rRNA from 1 species